rnacentral:misc_RNA from 1 species
AAAAGUCGUAACAAGGUUUCCGUAGGUGAACCAGCGGAGGGAUCAUUACCGAGUUUACAACUCCCAAACCCCUGUGAACAUACCUAUCGUUGCUUCGGCGGGAUGCCCCAGUUUGACGCAAGCUGGACCCAGGCGCCCGCCGGAGGACCCAAACUCUUGUUUUAUUUAUGUAUCUUCUGAGUAAACAAGCAAAUAAAUUAAAACUUUCAACAACGGAUCUCUUGGUUCUGG